AAAAGCCACGCAAAUGGGUUUUUUUGGUCAACCUCGUUGUCUUUGGUGGUCCCACCAAUAAUAUUCCCUCAUUUCCUCUUUCUUUUCACUGUUCUUCUUUUCUAGUCCACUUGUUGUUGGGUAAUUGUCAUGUUCACACUACUCCAGUCGCCACAAUUUCUCAGUGGACUCUGUUUUCCUCUUCAACGGACUGUGUCUUUCUCUCUCUCUUCAUCUCAUCGACCUUGACAACGUGAACCGCAUCCUCAAGCUUUCAUUUUCAGUGGCUUAUUCCUAGAAGACGUCAGGAAGAGAAAAAUUACCACUUGCAUACCUAACAGUUAUAUAUAUAUUAUUUACAAUGUACGAAAAAAGAAUGGCAAGACAAAGCACUUCAUGUGCUGGAAAGCAAGUAAACAUUGAAACUGGAAGCUUUUACUGCCAAAGGUAUAUAGAUUUAUUGUUCUAUCCCAUGUUCUUUUCUUACAUUCGAAAUUAGGCUUCUGGGUUGUCCUUAUUUAGAAGUCCAUGAGUACAAGCCCAUUAAUAAAAGGCAUGACACAUUGACAAGUAGUUCAAAAUGAAUAAAACUAGAAUUCUAGUUCUUAUAUAUUUCCUUCUUGUCCUUUCCAUAUAAUAUGGUUGCUUUAUGUUUAAGUAUGCAUAGGGGUUUUAUUUGUUUGGAACUGUUAAAAGGCUUUUUUUAACAGCAAGGGUAGAAGAACGAAAUGGAGGGGAUUCAUUCAGUUUUGUUUGUAAGAGUAGAGAUGGGUCCAUGGCUGGUUGUUUGAGGACAUUCAGAUGCUUAGGAACCAGUGGACAGAUGUUUUGGGUUUGGAGAGGAGGACAGAUGUCUUUUGACAGAGCCUCAAUCUCUAGCAACCAUUGCUCCCAACUUCUUUAUGAAAUUUUGCUUCGAUAGCACAUAGUGGACUCUUAAUCUUGUACAUUUUUAUUCCUUGCUAUCAAUGUAUCAUGGCUCAAAUCCAUCACCAAAGUCUUACUUUUUGUUUAGAACAAAAUAGAAAUCCACAGAAAUUAAGUUUCUUGCUUUUUAGAGAGAAAUUCCAUAGUUGAAUAAUUUUUUUGUUGUUGUUUUCUCACUUUCACACCUAUCUUGUUUAAACAAUGAGUUGUUGACCGAGGAUAUUAAAGCUUGUACGUGACUAUGUCUCUUUGAUUUGAAUACCUAAUAUCCAGCCUUAAAUUUAACAAGCAAUUAUUAGCAGAUUAGUAGUGGAACAAAGAUUUGACUUAACUGUAUUUACCUUAAUAAUCCCAUUUCAAAUGUAAAGUCUGGCACAAUAGACAUAGAAAAUCUCUUUUAAUCUCUGCUAUAUUUUAUGUUAUUUUAGCGUGUCUUUGGACAAGACAUUUCAUUAAUUGUAAUGACCAUGUCAACUUUAGUAGUAUAAUAUAUUGGGGUUUGUCAUGAAGUAUCAUAUUGCAACUUAUAUUCUGACUAUGACCAAAACUGUAACCUUACUUCCUGAUAUUAGCGGCAAAAACACUGCUAAUUGCUUCUGUUACAAAUUCUAGGCAAUUGUUAAGAUUUUGAUUACACUGUGAUGAUUAUUUGGUCUAACUUUGGUGGGUGGCCUUUCUAUAAAGGUACUUGAAAAUUUUCUUUUAAUUACAUAUUUGAAUUUGCUCCAAUACUCAUGAUAUGAAUUAUGGAGGUAACUUUCUUCUUAAAAUGGACUUUGGCCAUUUGCUUAUUAUCAUGUACAUAUAUAAUUGUUGACUCAUUUCAUCCACACCCUUUUCAGGGCAAAAUAUAUCAUAAUUAGCAGAGAUUAGUUCUCUUUUAUUUUUUGUACGUAAUUUUAUUUAAAGAUACAUGUGCUUUAACUACAUAUGAAGUGAUAUCCACUUGUUUGGUAACUUUAUGGGCAGAGAAGAGUAUCGGGAUGAAGAAAGCAAGGCAGUUAUUUGAGGCCAAAGAAGAAUACUUCACCCGCAAUGGAGCAAUUUUACUAGAAAAGCAAAUCACCUGCAACAAAGCUAGAGAUACAGAGCCAAUCAAGAUUUUCUUUGCCAAGGACAUACAACAGACUACUAAUAACUACGAUCCUAAGCCAAGGAAGCAAUGAGGAUUUUCAUGCAUUUUCUGAGCUUGCAUUGAGAUGCAUCAAGAGAAGGGAGAUGAGAGGCCAGCCAUGAGAGAAGUAACACUGGAGCUUAGGUGGAUACAACAUCUCAUAUGGUCAAAACAAAAUAAUGAAACUGGUUCAGUUCAAACCCCCUCAAAGUCAUGUAACUGAAUUGUCAUUGUUGGCAUUAGAAGCCCAACAUGUAUGUGAUUUCCAAGUCUUUUUACUGUCUACUAAGCUUGUAAUGCUAACUUUAUCAAAUUAUUAGAUAUUUGGGUUGGGGCUGGUUUCAUUGGAAUAGAAGCAACCAAUGGUUGAUCAAAUUGCAGAAUAUGAUACUUGAGGAAAUUUGCUUGGCAUGUUGUUGCUGUGUAAUUUGUUUGCUACUCUUGACACAUUUAUAAUUCAUUACAGAAUAUGAUCUUCCUAAUGGGUUGUUGUCAA